rnacentral:rRNA from 1 species
AUUGAACGCUGGCGGAAUGCUUUACACAUGCAAGUCGAACGGCAGCACGGACUUCGGUCUGGUGGCGAGUAGCGAACGGGUGAGUAAUGUAUCGGAACGUGCCCAGUCGUGGGGGAUAACGUAGUGAAAAUUACGCUAAUACCGCAUACGAUCUAUGGAUGAAAGCGGGGGAUCGCAAGACCUCGCGCGAUUGGAGCGGCCGAUAUCAGAUUAGGUAGUUGGUGGGGUAAAGGCCCACCAAGCCAACGAUCUGUAGCUGGUCUGAGAGGACGACCAGCCACACUGGAACUGGGGCACGGUCCAGACUCCUACGGGAGGCAGCAGUGGGGAAUUUUGGACAAUGGGCGAAAGCCUGAUCCAGCCAUUCCGCGUGCAGGAUGAAGGCCCUCGGGUUGUAAACUGCUUUUGUACAGAACGAAAAGGUUUCUACUAAUACUAGGAGCUCAUGACGGUACUGUAAGAAUAAGCACCGGCUAACUACGUGCCAGCCGCCGCCGUAA